GCUAGCUGGAUAAUCGCUCUUUAUUGAGAGGAAAGUCCGGGCUCCAAUGGACAAGACGCCAGGUAACCCCUGGGAGAUGUAAAUCUACGGAAAGUGCAGCAGAAAAUAAACCGCCUACAAUGUGGGUAAGGGUGAAAAGGUGUGGUAAGAGCACACCGCGUAACAGGCAACUGAUUAUGGCUAUGCAAACCCCGUCUGGAGCAAGACCAAAUAGAAGCUCUAUAGUCAGUCCUGACUGAGCUUGGGUAGGUUGCUUGAAUCUUGUGGCGACACAAGAUCUAGAUGAAUGAUUAUCCUAGACAGAACCCGGCUUAUAGGCUAGCUCA
rnacentral:RNase_P_RNA from 1 species